AUUGAACGCUGGCGGCGGCCUAACACAUGCAAGUCGAGCGGAAACGAGUUAUCUGAACCUUCGGGGAACGAUAACGGCGUCGAGCGGCGGACGGGUGAGUAAUGCCUAGGAAAUUGCCCUGAUGUGGGGGAUAACCAUUGGAAACGAUGGCUAAUACCGCAUGAUGCCUACGGGCCAAAGAGGGGGACCUUCGGGCCUCUCGCGUCAGGAUAUGCCUAGGUGGGAUUAGCUAGUUGGUGAGGUAAGGGCUCACCAAGGCGACGAUCCCUAGCUGGUCUGAGAGGAUGAUCAGCCACACUGGAACUGAGACACGGUCCAGACUCCUACGGGAGGCAGCAGUGGGGAAUAUUGCACAAUGGGCGCAAGCCUGAUGCAGCCAUGCCGCGUGUAUGAAGAAGGCCUUCGGGUUGUAAAGUACUUUCAGUCGUGAGGAAGGCGGCGUCGUUAAUAGCGGCGUUGUUUGACGUUAGCGACAGAAGAAGCACCGGCUAACUCCGUGCCAGCAGCCGCGGUAAUACGGAGGGUGCGAGCGUUAAUCGGAAUUACUGGGCGUAAAGCGCAUGCAGGUGGUUUGUUAAGUCAGAUGUGAAAGCCCGGGGCUCAACCUCGGAAUAGCAUUUGAAACUGGCAGACUAGAGUACUGUAGAGGGGGGUAGAAUUUCAGGUGUAGCGGUGAAAUGCGUAGAGAUCUGAAGGAAUACCGGUGGCGAAGGCGGCCCCCUGGACAGAUACUGACACUCAGAUGCGAAAGCGUGGGGAGCAAACAGG
rnacentral:rRNA from 1 species